ACGCACGCUGGCGGCAUGCCUAACACAUGCAAGUCGCACGAAGCCUUCGGGCUUAGUGGCGCACGGGUGCGUAACGCGUGGGAAUCUGCCCCUUGCUUCGGAAUAACAGUUAGAAAUGACUGCUAAUACCGGAUGAAGUCUUCGGACCAAAGAUUUAUCGGCAAGGGAUGAGCCCGCGUAGGAUUAGGUAGUUGGUGGGGUAAAGGCCUACCAAGCCGACGAUCCUUAGCUGGUCUGAGAGGAUGAUCAGCCACACUGGGACUGAGACACGGCCCAGACUCCUACGGGAGGCAGCAGUGGGGAAUAUUGGACAAUGGACGCAAGUCUGAUCCAGCAAUGCCGCGUGAGUGAUGAAGGCCUUAGGGUUGUAAAGCUCUUUUACCAGGGAUGAUAAUGACAGUACCUGGAGAAUAAGCUCCGGCUAACUCCGUG
rnacentral:rRNA from 1 species